AUACACAAAGCAAAGCAUACUUUGAGCUGCUUUGAACGUCUAUACUUUUGUGUGAUCCGCAGUGCCAGCCUGCUUUUCCUGUUUGUACUUCCUAGUUGACUCCCUAUGCUGAAGGUCUGGGACUUGAGCACCUGGACCCACCGUGAUAAAGGAAAGAACCAUUUCAACCAAGGAAGGAUCAAGAUCGGGAAACAUGUCACACAUGCUGUCCAGCAGGCCCUCAUUGUUGUUAUUACUCAUGGUUGGAGGUAGAGGUAAUGCCACAGAGGAUGGACGAUCAGUGGUAGAGGAAGAUGAUGAAGGCUUCCUUAAUGGACUCAAGGAAUGAGUUUUUCUUUUUCUUGGCAUCACAGCUACUCAGAGAUCACAGAUAAUGGCCCAUAACAGAAGUUGACAGGCUACAGAAGAAAUACAAAUUAAAUCAUAUAAGAGAUUGAAAUUACAUGUUAUGCCAAGCAUUCAAAGUUAAUGGAGAAGUAAAGUUUAAACAAUUGGGAGGGAA